rnacentral:lncRNA from 1 species
UUUUCGGACGAUCUGUGAGAGCAAAGCAGACAAGAUGUAGGCAGGGGACUGAUAGUUCUGGUGGCGGAAUCCACCACUGGAAGAUUUCGAACAUAGAAUAGUUGAUGAAUUUAGGAUGAUAGAGUCCGUGCCCAGCGAUUGUGUGAUCUGUUGAUUCUAAACUAAGAUUGUCGGGUGUAUUCCAUUCUGCAACGAUUCAACUGAGCGCCAGUGAAAGAUAUAGAAUCCUUUGUGUAUACGCCAGGAGAAGUAUAGUUGGGAUAUAUGGUGGUUCUGCUUUAUUUCUUUGAGGAUCCUCUACACUCAGUUACACCAUGGUUUCAUCAGUUAUCAUCCCAUCAACAGUGAGUAUGUAUUUUACUUCAAAAUGAUCCAAACUUAUAUUUUAACCAAACACGGGGGAAUUUCAUUGCUGCCACAUCUAGCAGACGGCACAAAAUAGCACCUGGUUGGAGGAACUAAUUAGGGAUGUUUCUGCACAACGAAUCAGAAGAAUGAAAAGACGUGGAAACCUCUCCUGUCUGAAAUUCAAGCUCACACUCCUGUCCUCUGUUCCUUUCCUUAAAGCUCCACUGGAUGCGGGACUAUUUUUCAAAAUUAAAGUGACCAACACUGGAGAUAAAGUAGUUGGGAUUAAACCUGAAGGCUUAUUUCACCACACUAAAGGAAAGAAAGACCACUGUAUUGUGUCUUACGAAGGCCAUGGUAGGAGGAUGGAGUGUCUGCUGAUCUAUAUGAACAAGGAGCGGCUGGAAAACCAGAAACGUAACUUCUGGAAGUUGGAGCUAUCCAUCUGGCUUACUUACUGAGAACUGUAGGCACCCGCACUGCAAGCAUUAUUUAUAUACUAAGUAAUGCAUUUAAGAUUUAUGAGGAAUGAGAAGUCACACCACACCUAGAAGGGUGUGAACACGGAAUGCCUGCACUCAGGGAGAGAUCUGCGUCAGCUGUAUUUUUGAUCAAAAGUUGUUCCCAUAGUGACAACACUCUCCCCCUUAUCAGUAUUUCUUCUUGUUACUUGGUUACCAAAAUAUGAAAUGAAUACUGAAUGCAGGUCAUGAGCAUGAGAGCGAAUAUAAAGCUAACUAGUUAUCUAGGUCUAACUCUGUCAUGAUUUUUCUUUAUAUUUUUGGUGGUGGUUAAAUACAUAAAUAUAUUCAGUGGUCUAAGUAUAGAACCCAAUAUGAAGCCCACAGCCUCCAAAUGCCUAUUGUAACUUCCCAGAAGUUCACUGAGGUAUACAAACCUUAGGUCUAAUAAAUUCACUGUGUAAUUUUUUUAUUUACAUAAUUGUUAAAAUAAAAUUUAUUAAAAUGUA